rnacentral:lncRNA from 1 species
AUGUGUAUCAAGAAGUGUUAUUUCUGUCUGGGGCCCAUCCACCCUGGCCAUGGCAAGAUGUUCAUCCGCAAUGAUUGCAAGGUGUUCAGAUUUUGUAAAUCUAAAUGUCAUUAAAAACUUUAAAAAGAAGUGCGAUCCUCACAAAGUUAGGUGGACCAAAGCAUUCUGGAAAGCAGCUGGUAAAGAGCUUACAGUGGAUAAUUCAUUUGAAUUUGAAAACCGUAGAAAUGAACCUAUCAAAUACCAGUGAGAGCUAUGGAAUAAAACUACUGAUGCAAUGAAGAGAAUUGAAGAGAUCAAACAGAAACACGAAGCUUAAUGAACAGAUUGAAGAAAAAUAAAGAGCUACAGAAAGUUCAGGAUAUCAAAGAAGUCAAGCAAAACAUCCAUCUUAUCCGAGCCCCUCUUGCAGGCAAAGGGAAGCAGUUGGAAGAGAAAAUGGCACAGCAGCUACAAGAGGAUGUGGACAUGGAAGAUGCU